UUGAUUUCCCCAUUUUCUACUCUAUAAUGUGUUGGUUGUGUGAAAUUUUGCCUAAAUCCGAACUGCUCAAAAACAGAGGCAACGACCGACCGUAUGCAAACAGAGGCGCAACCGCACGUGCGGGGCUCACAUUCGCACGUGCAGAAAACAAGGGAAUCGAACUUUGAGGCACUGCAAUAUAUGCACGUGCGGGGUGCACAUGCAGCCCACCUUCCCGCACGUGCGGCGAGGGGCCUUCGCACGUGCGACCCAUGGGGAGAAAUUCUUUGUCCUCCAUUUCUUCUGUUUGACCCUCUGGGAUUGUUAAAAUGUCACAUUCAGGAAGGGACUAUCGCUCUACCACAACACUGUAAUCAACCAGGAGGUCAGUUUUAGUCCAGCCUAACAGCUAUCUUCGAUCAUCCCGCUGUGUCCAAGCAAUUCAGUGAAGUUACCCAUUUUUGUGAAGUUCCUUUCUUUGCUCAUAGCAUUGGUCAGUGGUUUUUGUCAAAUGUAGUAAAGUGUGUAUAACCUUCACUAUCGAUGCAUUAGUUAUACCCCCAGUUGCGGGGAUGGGACUGUAUAUAUGUGUGUGUAUAACUAUCUCUUAUAUGUAUGUUCCUUAUGUGUUGGGCUAAUUGAUGGAUUGUUUUGUGAUCCUGGCAUGUAAGCGUUAGCUCAAUGGAUGUUUAUUUUAAAUUGAUAAUUGCUUC